UACGAAGGGGGCUAGCGUUGCUCGGAAUCACUGGGCGUAAAGCGCACGUAGGCGGCUUUCUAAGUCAGGGGUGAAAUCCUGGAGCUCAACUCCAGAACUGCCUUUGAUACUGGGAAGCUUGAGUCCGGAAGAGGUUAGUGGAAUUCCCAGUGUAGAGGUGAAAUUCGUAGAUAUUGGGAAGAACACCAGUGGCGAAGGCGGCGAACUGGUCCAGAUCUGACGCUGAGGUGCGAAAGCGUGGGGAGCAAACAGG
rnacentral:rRNA from 1 species